GAUCCUGGCUCAGGAUGAACGCUGGCGGCGUGCUUAACACAUGCAAGUCGAACGAAGCACUUUAUUUGAUUUCCUUCGGGACUGAUUAUUUGUGACUGAGUGGCGGACGGGUGAGUAACGCGUGGGUAACCUGCCUUGUACAGGGGGAUAACAGUUGGAAACGGCUGCUAAUACCGCAUAAGCGCACAGCAUCGCAUGAUGCAGUGUGAAAAACUCCGGUGGUAUAAGAUGGACCCGUCGG
rnacentral:rRNA from 1 species